GAAAAAUUAGUUAAAAAAUAAUAUAAGCUUGUCAUGCUUGAGUAGCCUCGUUGGUAUUUUUCU
rnacentral:tRNA from 1 species